AUGCUCCAGUUUCUCUUCAGAUUGUAUAAAUCUUUUGCCUUUUACUAAAGAUUUCCAUGGAGAAGAGCCUCAGGUGAUCACUGAUGUCACAUAUGAGUGCUAAUUUGUUGAAUUUACU